rnacentral:rRNA from 1 species
UACGUAGGUGGCAAGCGUUGUCCGGAAUUAUUGGGUUUAAAGGGUGCGUAGGCGGCCCAUUAAGUCAGUGGUGAAAGCCCGGGGCUCAACCCCGGAACCGCCAUUGAUACUGGUGGGCUUGAGUAUGGACGAGGUUGGCGGAAUUGAGGGUGUAGCGGUGAAAUGCUUAGAUACCCUCAAGAACACCGAUUGCGUAGGCAGCUAACUAGGCCAUAACUGACGCUGAGGCACGAAAGCGUGGGGAGCGAACAGG